CCAGGACGUUGAUAGGCUGGGUGUGGAAGCGCAGCAAUGCGUUAAGCUAACCAGUACUAAUUGCUCGUGAGGCUUGAUCCUAUAACGUUA
rnacentral:rRNA from 1 species